AUAAAGCGAAGCAACUCUUUGGCAAAGAGUGGACAUGCACGAGAGAGGAUCUCGAUGCUUUCAAAAGUGCGAGCAACAUCCGGGCAUCUGGGACUGUCGAGCUGAGGCGCCACUUGCGACCCUGCUUGUUGGGGACCGCAGCCAUGCUGAAGUGUGGGAUGAGCGGCGGUCGGGUGAAAGUAUUUGGGAAAGCAAUCCAAGCUCUAUCACGAGUUAGUGACGAGGUGUGGCUAGACCCAUCUGAAAAAGGACUUGCUUUGAGAUCUGUGAAUUCUUGUCGGUCAGCAUAUGGAUGCGUCCUCUUCUCUCCUGUGUUUUUUCAAUAUUAUCAAUGGUCAACCUCAGUGAAGAAGAAUGAUAAGGACACAAUGUCCAACUUAAAUUGCAAACUGGGAAUGAAGUCAAUUCUGCCUAUCUUUAGAUGUCUGAAUUCCCUUGAAAGAAAUGUAGAAAAGUGCAAAAUAUUCACCAGACCUGAAAAGUGCAAAGUCAUUUUUCAAUUCUUCUGCAGACAUGGUAUUAAAAGAACUCAUAAUGUGUGUUUUCAAGAAAGUCAGCCCUUGCAAGUUAUUUUUGAUAAAAAUAUGUGUUCUAAUACACUAAUGAUUCAACCAAGAGUGCUUGCUGAGGCAGCUGUUCUUUUUACAUCAAGUCAAGAAGUUACUCUUGCUGUUACUCCACUGAAUGUUUGCCUUAAGAGUUCUAACGAGGAAUCAGUGGAUUUGGCCAGUUCUGUGUACAGUGAGAUGUUUGUCGGCCCAGAUGAGUUUGAUUUCUUUCAAAUUAGAGUUGAUACUGAAAUAACAUUUUGCUUCAAAGAAUUAAAGGUAAACAAAAAUGUGUCAAAUCAAAAAUUUCACUGGUAUAUUUUUAUGAGGAUUUCAAUUUUUGUUUUUUCCUUCCAGGGAAUGCUGACAUUUUCAGAAGCUACACAUGCUCCUGUAUCUAUUCAUUUUGAUUUUCCUGGGAAACCAAUGUCUUUAAGUAUUGAUGAUAUGUUACUGGAAGCUAACUUUAUUUUGGCUACAUUAGCUGAUGAGCCAAGUAGAGCAUCUUCUCCACAAUCACUGUGUCUUUCACAAAAACGAAAAAGGUCAGAUCUGGUCUGUUCAAAUUCAAGGACUGGUAAAAAUGCAACCAGCAAGGCCCCGGAAUCUAUCUCAAGAAAAGUGGCAUCAAAAAGCCUUUAUCCUAAUGAGACCCUCAGAAACACUUCCACACUGGCAAGCUGUGACAGCCCUAUAACAAAGAAAACAAAUGGAGACGUUACUGAAGUACCAGAAAGCAGUGUCAGCGACGCAGAGGAAGUGCCAGGGUCUCCGUAUCACAGGAAGUUUUCUUGCAUGUUCUUUGGAGCAGUUUCUAAUGAUCAGCAAGAACACAUUAGCUACCCUUUCAACAGUCUGGCAACAGCAAGUGACAGUGAAGAGGACACGAAUGACAGCUUUCCAACAUUCUAACACCGAAUGAUGACUGAGUCGGCCCCAGCCCAUUUGCUGGCUCACCUGCACCUCAAACUGUUUUCACACUUGGUAAAAGGGACCACGAAGAAAACAUGCAGCAGGGGAAGAAAGAAAAAAGACAAUGAAACUGGCGGAAACAGGUCGAUUGCUUCUCUGGAAUAAAGAAAAACAAUACAAGAUACUUCACAUUCGCUCAGUCUUUGGAAACUAAUCAGUUCUAGAAGUUUAGAUUAAUGAUGAGGUUGACACUGAAGCUCUGUUUUAUGCUAAGGUUCUUCUUUCCCCAGGAGUGUCUUUUGCUAUUCUGCCUGUGAGAGACUCGCUACCAUUGGACAGUUCAUCCUCUUCUCCCAACACCCAUGAGCUUGGUGUUCCGCCAGCUGCAUUCUGCCCAUUUUGAUUGAACAUACUGUGCUGCUGGAAACUUUUGACUGCACUGAAACACGAGCUAAAAUCACAUGCUAGCAAGCUGUCUCUGGGCUCCUGGGGAAGCAACCUCCACUUCGCUGGCACGCCAAGCUGAGUGCUGCCCUAACCAGACUCUCCAAAAGAUAGUGUGUGAGAUAGAGCAGGGCUGCCCCAGCAUUUAGAAGCCAAAACAAGAAGAAUCAAAUCAAGGAAAACUAAAACAGUGUCCUCCAAAAACUGUUAGCUGAGCUCUACCAAGGCCUUGGGAUUCUGAGUUCUCCCCACUCCAAUAUGGCUAAUAUUAAUGUGUAUUACAUCCAACUCAAGAAAGAUCUAUAAUAAAAUAUUCUUCCAAUUAUGAUAAUCCAAAAGUAACAAAUGUUUCCUUUUCUCUAGGAGUUAGCAACAGACUUUAGAUAAGCAAUGCUGAAUACCUAAUUAUACAAUACAUUCAUUCAAGUUUAAAGAUGGCAGUAAUAAUCAUUUUAUCUUAGUUUGGACUUAUGAUCUGGCUUACUAAGAACUGUUAAGUAGAGUCAACAUGCAGUUGCUAGAAUGCUCCUCUUUUUACAAAAGGUUCAUUACCCAUUUAACAUUUAUGAAUUACCAACAAUGUUUGUGCCAGGCCCUGUCAGGUUGUUAAAGGCAAUGAAAUCUGAGAUUGUUUUAGCCUUACUCUGAUCUUAGGAAAGAUAAACUGUAAACAUUGAUUAAAAAUGUACAUUUUGGAAGGCUCUAGACAAUUUAAAAAUGAGCUGAGAGAAGGUGUCAGAAGAACACGUCAACAGCAUCAUCACAGAACAUAUCCAAAACUACUUUGACUCCAUUUCCUGCAGGUUAACUUUGCCCUCACAGGUUUCACACAGACUGCAAUUUCUUUUUGAUGCAUAUAAUAGGAGGCCCUGAGAUUCGGGAAGUUAUUCUGAUAAAUAAAGCAAACGUCUGUUUGAGCUCUUCCUUAACAACGUAUGCAAAAUCUUGCACAGGCAGUGGCAUACAUGAACAAUAACUCAUUUCUCAGCACAAUUUAACAAAUACAACUGUAUGUACCAUGUGGUCUUGGUAUGAAAACCUGACACUCUGUAAGCCUGAAGUAGUGUUUUCAUAGUCUUGUCAAACUACUGGGUGUUUAUCAGAAUUCAACUUGGCUGCAAUGUCAAGUUCAAGCAAAAUAUCUUUCAAAGUCAAACUAAAAAGGUCCUCCUGAUAACAUUCUCGGUAUGGCUUCUUUUUUCACAUGAGAAUGGCUAAGGGGAAUGGGAAGGAACCUGUGGGUGAGCCAUGUCCUGCUCACACUUAAUGGCCAAGA